AAUCAACGCUGGCGGCGUGCCUCAGACAUGCAAGUCGAACGCGAAAGUCCCCCUUCGGGGGGACAAGUAGAGUGGCGCACGGGUGAGUAACACGUAGGUAAUCUACCUUCGGAUGGGGAAUAACAACCGGAAACGGUUGCUAAUACCGCAUAAUGCAGCGGCACCUAAUGGUGACAGUUGUUAAAGCGGGGGAUCGAAAGACCUCGCGUCUGAAGAGGAGCCUGCGGCGGAUUAGCUAGUGGUAAGGUAAUGGCUUACCAAGGCUACGAUCCGUAACCGGCCUGAGAGGGCGGUCGGUCACACUGACACUGACAUACGGGUCAGACUCCUACGGGAGGCAGCAGUCGGGAAUUUUGGGCAAUGGGCGAAAGCCUGACCCAGCAACGCCGCGUGAAGGAUGAAAUCCCUCGGGAUGUAAACUUCGCAAGAACGGGAAGAAUAAGUAGGGGAC
rnacentral:rRNA from 1 species